GCGGAGGCGGGGCGCGAGGAAGGGGCGCGGUCCGGGUCAAGGGCGGGAGUGAGCUGGCAGCACCGGGGCCGCGGCGCACACCCUCUGACGGGUCUUCCACGCGCUGGUUCCGAGGCCGCCCUCCAGGUAAGUUCAGCCUCCGCGCGCCUCUCAGCCCCGGGCGCGCCUGCGCCAGGUCCCCCGGAAGCAGAGCGCGGCCCCGGGGCCAUAGCAGAAACGGCGCCCACACCGAGCCCACUGCGCGGGGGCAGGGUCCGAGGGGAGGCAGGGAGUCCACGUCUCCCGUUUCAGAAUCACGGAAGAAAAUCUUCCCGAUUCAGUUCACGGUCCUGAGGGGCAAAAAUGUCUGUUCUGCGAGGGUCACUCAGUUCCGGUCUGGUGGGGGGCGGGGGAGCACGCUGACAGCCAGUUGCCCCGGCGGGAGCCCUGGACCCUGGCUUUUCAUCACAGCCAGAAUCUGUGCUGGGAUCCAGUUGGCCAUCCUGGCCUCCCCAGUCCUCAGGGUCUGGGGAACAGAAAAAGAGCGCGGGGCGGGGGGCCUGGAGGCGGUGGGGUGGAGUGGAGUACAGAACGGCCUUCGUGUCCCUGGCGUCUCCGGAGGGGCUGGCUCCCAGCUCCGUUCUGAGGAGUUGGAAUCCCACCCAGUCCUGUUGUUGUGAUCUCAAUUCAAGAGGAAGGUGUGAUAUGGCGUCUGUCUGGGUUGGACACCGAGGGACAAUGAGAGAUCAUCCAGGCUUUAACCCUUCUGUGGAUGCUGAGGCGAUUCAUAAGGCAGUCAGAGAAAUCGGUGAGUGAUGCUUUACAGCUCCUUUCUUAAUGCUAAAACAGAUCAGGAAAGUUAAAUCCAAAAAUGCAUAGGUUCAAUUUGCCUAAGUUGCCUUAUCAAUUAGAGAUUGUAAGGCACUUAAAAAAAAAAAAAACAACUUUUUUUUUUUCUGCCCACUCCACUGUGUAUGGAGUUUCCAGGCCAGGGAUCAGAUCUGAGCCCAGUUAGGACCUAUGCUGCCACGGAGACAACGCCUGAUCCUUUAAUGCUCUGUGCCCAGCAGGAGGAUCAAACCCGUAUCCUGGUGCUGCAGGGAUUCCACCAAUCCCCUCGUGUCACAGCAGGAGUUCCAAGGCACUUUUAAAAAUUAUGAAAUAAUUAGGAAAAGUAUAGGAAACCCAGUUCUAUUUAAUCUUAAUAUUUACUGUAUUUACUUAAUACUAAACACUACCAUCAGCACUGCCAUCUCAGCAUCAAUCAUUAUAGGUACAGUCCCUGCCGAUUCUGCCUGGAUCUCAUUCCUCAGAGAUAAGCAAGAGUUUAUUCCUAUGAAACUUUUAUUUAUUUAUUUGCUUUUUAGGGCUGUACCUGCAGUAUAUGGAAGCUCCCAGGCUAGAAGUUGAAUCAGAGCUACAGCUGCUGGCCUGCACCACAGCCACAGCAAUACGGGACCCGAGCCGAGUCUGCAACCUACACCGCAGCUCAUGGCAACGCUGGACCCUUAACCCACUGAGCAAGGCCAAGGAUCGAACCCGCAUCCUCAUGGAUACUAGUUGGGUGCAUUACUGCUGGGCCACAAUGGAAACUCCUAUUCCCAUGAAACUUUUAAUCCUUAUCAGUUGAAAUCAUCCUGGAUAUAUGCUUCUGCAACUUGUUUUUCUCCCUUGACAUUAUGUUUUGGAGAUGUAGCCGUGUUGAUACAUUGAGCUCUAGUUCAUUAAUUUUAACUGCAGAGUAGUCUAUUGAAUUAUUACAUCCUAAUUGAUGUAAUUGUAUUGAUGGAGCAUUUAAAUCGCCUGCAGUUCUUUCCUAUUACAGUAUAAAAAUACUGCAUUGAAUAGCAAUGUGCUUCUGUCUUGUACACAUUUGCCAGCAUCUCUUAAAAUAUAAUGGUUGGAGUCUUUUGGUUGAAGGGGAUGUUUCUUUCCAAAUUAACUAGAAAUUUCCCCAGACUCCGUUCUCAAGUGAGUAUACAAAUUAGCAUUCCUACAGGCAAUAUGUGAGACUUCAUCUUGCCCCAUCUCCUCAUCAAUUCUUGCUGCAGUCAUCCUAUUCAGUUUUUCCCACUGAGUGGGUCUAAAAUGAUCUCAUUCUGUAUCUGUUUCCUUCCUCUUCCCCCCCCCCCUUACUGAUGAGGUGAAGCAUCCUUUCUUGUUUAUUUGCUUCCUCUCCCAUGAAUUACUUCUUCACAUCUUUUAUCCAUUUUUUCAGUUGGCUGUCUUCUUUGUGCCGGGCAAGAUUUAUUUUAAAAUAAAUUCUUGGCGUUCCCAUCGUGGUGCAGCGUAAACGAAUCCUACUAGGAUCCAUGAGGAUGAGGGUUAGAUCCCUAGUAUUAUUCAGUGGGUUGAAGAUCUGGCGUUGCUAUGAGCUGCGGUGUAGAUUGCCGAUGUGGCUCAGAUCCCAUGUUGCUGUGUCUGUGGAGUAGGCUGGCCGCUGUAGCUCCAGUUGGACCCCUAACCUGGGAACUUCCAUAUG
rnacentral:lncRNA from 1 species